rnacentral:rRNA from 1 species
CGUAGGGUCCGAGCGUUGUCCGGAAUUACUGGGCGUAAAGCGCGCGCAGGCGGCCCGCGAGGUGUCACGUGAAAGCCCCGGGCUCAACCCGGGAGGGUCGUGGCAAACCGGCGGGCUUGAGGCCGGUAGAGGUGGGUGGAACUCCUGGUGGAGUGGUGAAAUGCGUAGAGAUCAGGAAGAACACCCGUGGCGAAGGCGGCCCACUGGGCCGGUACUGACGCUGAGGCGCGAAGGCGUGGGGAGCGAACGGG